AAAGUUUGACAGACAAUCGCUGGCGGCGCGUAAGGCGCCGCGAGAGGAAAGUCCGGGCUCCAUAGGGCAGGGUGCUGGAUAACGUCCAGUCAGCGCGAGUUGAAGGAUAGUGCCACAGAAAUGGACCGCCGAUGGCCGCUCAUCCGAGCGGAUCAGGCAAGGGUGGAACCGAGGUGUAAGAGACCCCGAGGAACGCUGGUGACAUCGUUCCUGGUAAACCCCACCUGGAGCAAGACCUAAUGGAACGCAGCUUCUUACUGAAGCAGCCUUUGCCCGAGGCGCGUUCGGGUUGGUCGCUUGAGCCAAUCAGCAAUGGUUGGCCUAGAUAGAUGAUUGUCGCUUAUCUGCGGGAGGGUAGUUCCCGUCCGUACCGCAACGAGCACAGAACCCGGCUUACGUAAAACUUUCCAA
rfam:Paenibacillus sp. P1XP2 CM49_contig000028, whole genome shotgun sequence.